GACGAACGCUGGCGGCGUGCUUAACACAUGCAAGUCGAGCGGUAAGGCCUUUCGGGGUACACGAGCGGCGAACGGGUGAGUAACACGUGGGUGAUCUGCCCUGCACUUCGGGAUAAGCCUGGGAAACUGGGUCUAAUACCGGAUAUGACCUCCUAUCGCAUGGUGGGUGGUGGAAAGAUUUAUCGGUGCAGGAUGGGCCCGCGGCCUAUCAGCUUGUUGGUGGGGUAAUGGCCUACCAAGGCGACGACGGGUAGCCGACCUGAGAGGGUGACCGGCCACACUGGGGCUGAGGCACGGCCCAGACUCCUACGGGAGGCAGCAGUGGGGAAUAUUGCACAAUGGGCGAAAGCCUGAUGCAGCGACGCCGCGUGAGGGAUGACGGCCCUCGGGUUGUAAACCUCUUUCAGCAGGGACGAAGCGCAAGUGACGGUACCUGCAGAAGGAGCACCGGCUAACUACGU
rnacentral:rRNA from 1 species